rnacentral:rRNA from 1 species
CACGCAGGCGGUUUGUUAAGUCAGAUGUGAAAUCCCCGGGCUCAACCUGGGAACUGCAUCUGAUACUGGCAAGCUUGAGUCUCGUAGAGGGGGUAGAAUUCCAGGUGUAGCGGUGAAAUGCGCAGAUAUCAGGAGGAACACCGAUGGCGAAGGCAGGUCUCUGGGCCACUACUGACGCUGAGAAGCGAAAGCAUGGGGAGCGAACA